CUGAUGCGUUGUUGGGUAGGGGAGCGUUCUGUAAGCCUGUGAAGGUGGCCUGUGAGGGUUGCUGGAGGUAUCAGAAGUGCGAAUGCUGACAUAAGUAACGAUAAAGCGGGUGAAAAGCCCGCUCGCCGGAAGACCAAGGGUUCCUGUCCAACGUUAAUCGGGGCAGGGUGAGUCGACCCCUAAGGCGAGGCCGAAAGGCGUAGUCGAUGGGAAACGGGUUAAUAUUCCCGUACUUGGUGUUACUGCGAAGGGGGGACGGAGAAGGCUAUGUUGGCCGGGCGACGGUUGUCCCGGUUUAAGCGUGUAGGUGUGUGUUCCAGGUAAAUCCGGUUCACUUUAACACUGAGGCGUGAUGACGAGGCACUACGGUGCUGAAGCAACAAAUGCCCUGCUUCCAGGAAAAGCCUCUAAGCAUCAGGUAACAUCAAAUCGUACCCCAAACCGACACAGGUGGUCAGGUAGAGAAUACCAAGGCGCUUGAGAGAACUCGGGUGAAGGAACUAGGCAAAAUGGUGCCGUAACUUCGGGAGAAGGCACGCUGACACGUAGGUGAAGUGAUUUACUCAUGGAGCUGAAGUCAGUCGAAGAUACCAG
rnacentral:rRNA from 1 species